CUCUUUUUAACAUGUGCGAGGUAAGUUAUUUGUUGAUUUUUUUGUGUGUUUAUUUCCUCAUUUUAGUAAGACCAUCAGGCCUUUUUGUAACCUUUGUCACAAGUCUUAAGUUACAAGUAUUUUGUAGGUAUGUGUUUUGUGCCCUGUUUCAAGUUAAGUGCCAAGUUCAAGAGGAUCAUGACAGUUGGUUUGCUGUUGAAUUUCUUCUCAGAGCUGGAUGGUCUUUCAACAACACUGCUCUGGGUCUUCAGCAAGAAAGGUGCUUCUCAUGCAAGGAAGAUACAGAGGAUCCUGGUGCCCAUGACUCAGACUGACAACAUUGAUGUGAAGAGGGAGUGCAUGCUGAGGAGCUGACGGUCUACCUGAAUGAAGAGCCAGACAAAGUGGAUGUUGAUCUGGACGGUCCAGCUGAAACGUAUUGUCUUCGUGUGCGUGUGAUCGGCAGAGAGUCCUCAACGACAUUGGUAACGUACCUGUGGCCAUUGCAGUGUUUGUUUUGGUUUAUGCUCUUAAUCUCUGUUACCUUCCAGAAUGGAAGUACACUUUCAAAUUUCUGUUUCAUUCUAACCGUCUGUUUCAUCAGUUUUUGCACUGCUUUUAAAUGUACACUGUGUAAGAUUCUUAGUUGUUUAUUUCCAGAAUUCAUGCUACCCAUUCACUAAUGUUACCUUUUUCAUGAAUACUUAGCACCACCAUUAGGGUGCAUCAGUUGCCCCCUAUGAAAAGAUAUGGCCUU